GCCCAGCACGGUGGCACAUGCCUGUAGUCCCAGCUACUCAGGAGGCUGAGGUGGGAGAAUUGCUUGAGUCCAGGAGUUCUGGGCUGCAGUGUGCUAUGCCGACUGGGUGCCCACACUAAGUUUGGCAUCAAUAUGGUGACCUCCCGGGCAUGGGGGACCACCAGGUUGCCUAAGGAGGGGUGAACCGGCCCAGGUCGGAAACAGAGCAGGUCAAAACUCCCGUGCUGAUCAGUAGUGGGAUCACGCCUGUGAAUAGCCACUGCACUCUAGCCUGGGCAACGUAGCAAGACCCCGUCUCU
rnacentral:SRP_RNA from 1 species